UCCACCCGAUUCUCAUUCACCCGAUUCUUUCUCCCGAACUUCCCUCUGUCGUUCCCUUCUUCCCCAAUCCCCUUCUCUUCUCCCUCACACACUAUCUCUCUCCCGAUUGCUCAUCACCGAGGACCAUCAAGCUCCGACGACAAUGAGUUUUUCGAUCGCCGACGCUAGCCGCUCUUUCUCAUCUCCCUCACCGUGCGCCGACCACCUUCCCUUUUGCCCUAGUGUUGAUUCGGCCGAUCCAUCGUGCUCUCCCUUCUCUUAGCAUCAUCUCUGCCUGACAUCGUCGGCGCCCGAUGUCAUGCCAUUCGUCGCCCAUCGCCGAUGCAGCCGUAGCAGCGGUACUCAUCCUGAUCCCCUCCCUCUCCCUCCUGCGGCGCUGUGCCCUAGCAGUGAUCUUGGAGUGAUUGUGCUUUGGUUCUGGCCACCACAGCUCCAUUGGGGAUCACUUUCUUCGUCAGACCUGUGAUCAACACCAGCAAUUGAAGAGGAAGAGGAUUUUGGUUCGAGACAAGUACUUUGACGCGGGGAUUGUUUAGCUCGAUUUACAUUUAAGACGGGUAUUUCUUCCUUUGCCUCUAUAUAUUUCUUUGAACUUAGUGCAUGGUUAUUAUUUGAUGGAUUAGGCUGCUUUACCUUAUAUCGUGUUCAUUUGUUACUUUCCUGCAUGAUACUUAUGCUUGACCCUUGUGAUGAUCUAUUUAAUUGAUAUAUAGUCUCAACUCUUGAUAUCUACUCUAUUGUGAAUACACGUGUAGAGUAUGUAUUAUAGGGAUUGUCAGGUUGUUGGAAUUACCAUGCUAAUUAUCCAUAUGAUGUGGAUUGUACGUAGGUUGGUAUGUGUUAUAGGAGUCAUCAUGUUGACCGUACAUUUACAUGUUGAAUGAACACACAUUUUUGUUAUGUACUUUUGGAGGAGUUGUGAUGAUUGUAUUUA